rnacentral:rRNA from 1 species
GACGAACGCUGGCGGCGUGCUUAACACAUGCAAGUCGAACGGAAAGGCCCUGCUUUUGUGGGGUGCUCGAGUGGCGAACGGGUGAGUAACACGUGAGUAACCUGCCCUUGACUUUGGGAUAACUUCAGGAAACUGGGGCUAAUACCGGGUAGGAGCUCCUGCUGCAUGGUGGGGGUUGGAAAGUUUCGGCGGUUGGGGAUGGACUCGCGGCUUAUCAGCUUGUUGGUGGGGUAGUGGCUUACCAAGGCUUUGACGGGUAGCCGGCCUGAGAGGGUGACCGGCCACAUUGGGACUGAGAUACGGCCCAGACUCCUACGGGAGGCAGCAGUGGGGAUUAUUGCACAAUGGGCGGAAGCCUGAUGCAGCAACGCCGCGUGCGGGAUGACGGCCUUCGGGUUGUAAACCGCUUUCGCCUGUGACGAAGCGUGAGUGACGGUAAUGGGUAAAGAAGCACCGGCUAACUACGUG